rnacentral:lncRNA from 10 species
UAAUAUUUCACUCAUUUUUAAACUUCUAUUUCUUUUAAGACAGGUUUGGCAGAACUGUGUUUGAGGUCCAGAAUCAAGAGGAAGCUGGGAAGAAGAGGAGAACAAUGAAAUAAAGAUUUAAGACUAGUGGAAGAGAUUUUCUAUAUUAUUUUGGAAAAGAGAGAUACUGAAGAAAAUGCACGGAGGAGAAUAUAUGUAAAAUACAGGACCUAACUUUGUCUGUGAGACCAGCAAAAAUAUUCCUAAGGAAAUGAAGAGGGAAAUUUCAAUGAAGCAAAGAAAAGAACAUUUCAAGAAUGGAAGAUUACUGAAUAGUGUUAAAGGCUUAUAAGAAGGCAAGUAAGAGAAGGACUGAGAACUCAUUUCUUUGGCAACCUUGGAAAGAACAAAUACCAUGAGAAGUGUAGGUGGAAAUUAACUAGUAUGAGGCUGAAAAAAGAAUAAGUAAGGAAAUGAAGACCACGAACUUUCAAACUUCAGAAAAUUUUGAAGUGAAGAGGAGUUGUGGAUUCUUUUCAAAUAGGAAAGAAAGUGCUAUAGGAAGAAGUUGGUAGAUUAAAAAGUGGUUGAUGAUACCAGUAAGAGAAGUAAUAAUUUAAAGGAUAGAUAGUGAAUUCAAAAAGACUAGAGGGGCUGGAAUCCAAAGUUGAGGUAAAGCUUAGCCUUGGGCAAGAGAAACACCUCCUAGUCAUGUAUUAAGAGAAAAGAAUUAGUGCACAUUUAGGGGAGAUUUGAAGAUUUGGUAUUUGGAAGCUGAAGAGUUCAUGACUUGAUGGCUUCUACUUCCUCAGUUUAAUAGUAAAGUCCUAGAUUAAGUAAUUUUGGGUGGGGGAGGUAAUUGGGAGAAAUAACAUGAACUUGAAUAACAGAAGGCCUUGUCGGGUGGAUCACCUGAGUUUUCAAUGAGUCAUUAGAUUUCCAGUUUGCCUGACCAACAUGGUGAAAUCUUGUCUCUACUAAGAAUACAAAAAUUAACUGGCUUGGUGGCGUGUGCCUGUAGUCCCAGCUACUCAGGAGGUUGAGACAGGAGAAUUGCUUGAACCUGGGAGGUGGAGGUUGCAGUGAGCUGAAAUCACGCCACUGCACUCCAGCCUGGGUGACAGAGCGAGACUCCGUCUCAAAAAAAAAAGGAGAAGGCCUUAAAUAUCUUCUUAAGUCUGAAUUUGACAUGAUAGGAGAGGAAAAAUUAUAAAAUAUGUAAAUUUGGAGUUAUUUUGAUUGAUAAUUUCAGACAGUGCUUACUCUGCACAAGAACCUGUACAAGUGCUUUGCAAACACACACCAAUCCAAUUCCGUGUCUCCACUCACCUGGGACUACUCUUAACUUCCAAUCCAUUCUUUCACCCCCACAAACCAUUCUCAGUACAGCAGCCAAAGUAGAGUUUACAAGAAUACAAACCAUGUCAACAUCCCUGUUUUAAGCACAAGGUCUUGCAUGGCUUCCCAGUGCCUGGAGGUAAGUCUCACAUGGUCUGGACCCUGCCAGUCCCUGCAACUUCAUCUUCUGUUGUGUGGUACAUUGUUUUGGAACUCUGGUAAAUAGAUCUGUUUUUAUUUCACUUAAGGUUUCUAACAAGGUUUUUACAGGAAUAUGAGAAAGCUGUUGGGAUUUAUUUCAGAUUAUUUCUGAACAUUACUUAGGUAAUUUUUUGUAAUACACAUGUAAAAUGAAUACACUGAAAGAAACCAAUUCUCCCCCAAACCCUGAAUUUCUUUUUCAUAGAGCUUGAACUCUUAUUUAAGUUUCAGUAAAAAAAAAAAAAAAAAAAAAAAAAAAAAAAGGAAAAGCUCUUAUAAAGUGUUGUAUUCUCACUACCCAAGUAGGGAUAGGGUAAACCAAUGCAUGGUAAUGAGAAUUAUGAGAAAAUGCUGACACUUUGUUUUAUACUUGUCUAUUUAUUCAAAUCUCUCUCCUCUCACCCUAUUUUGUUUUUAUGCCUCUGUCAACCUGAAUAAGUAUGUAUUGGGCAGAAUAUCAAAAUAAAUUUUCUGUUAUUUUUAGUCUUAUUUCAUAUUUAAAUAAACCUGUAAAUUUGGGGUAGUUUUACUAACCCAUUAACAUUUUCUGUGGGGAUAAAAAAAAAGUCUGUGAAGUUUUACCACGGCGAGAAUUUUUUUCCUCUUUUUUCUUUCUGUCAUUUUUUUAAAAAAGCUAAUGUAAAAAAAUGUGGCAGUACAUCCUUAAGUCUUAAGAUUCCCCAAAAUGAACAAACAAAAGAUGAUAAAAGACAUUGGUUUAGUUUUAGUACUUCUUUGUAUUCCAAAAUAAAUACGUAAAACAGGAAAUAAUUCCUACUUAAAUAUUCUUGGGCAAGAUCAUUAGACAAUAUUUAUUAAUUUAGUGUGAUCUACAUAAACUGACA